UACGGAGGGUGCAAGCGUUAUCCGGAUUUAUUGGGUUUAAAGGGUCCGUAGGCGGAUCUGUAAGUCAGUGGUGAAAUCUCACAGCUUAACUGUGAAACUGCCAUUGAUACUGCAGGUCUUGAGUAAAUUUGAAGUGGCUGGAAUAAGUAGUGUAGCGGUGAAAUGCAUAGAUAUUACUUAGAACACCAAUUGCGAAGGCAGGUCACUAAGAUUUAACUGACGCUGAUGGACGAAAGCGUGGGGAGCGAAC
rnacentral:rRNA from 1 species